AUGGAAUAAUAAAAUAGGACGGCAUAGUUCUAUUUUGUUGGUUUCUAGGAUCACCAUAAUGAUUAAUAGGGAUAGUUGGGGGUAUUGGUAUUCAAUUAUCAGAGGUGAAACUCUUGGAUUUAUUGAAGAAUAACUUCUGCGAAAGCAUUUGCCAAGGAUGUUUUUAUUGAUCAAGAACGAAAGUUAGGGGAUCGAAGACGAUCAGAUACCGUCGUAGUCUUAACCAUAAACUAUACUGACUAAGGAUCGGACGAUGUUGAUUUUUUAAUGACUUGUUCGGCGCUUUACG
rnacentral:rRNA from 1 species